GCCGACGUAGCUCAGGGGUAGAGCACUUCACUCGUAAUGAAGGGGUCGUGGGUUCAAAUCCCACCGUCGGCU
rnacentral:tRNA from 1 species